GCAUAGUAAUGGAUUUAUGGUGUGUCCUCUGUGGGCACCUCAAGCAGGCCCAUGCCAGAGAAAGCUGCAGCUUUAAACUAUUGUCCAGUAUCCUUACCUGUGGGCUGUGAGCACUGAAGAGGGUUGUGAGGUG